UUUGUCUUUAUAAGAAGAGGAAGAUCGACCAGAGCUCUCUCUCUCUUCUCUAGGCAUGUGCUCUGAGAAAAGGUCAUCUGAGGACAAAGUACCCGUCUGCAAGCCAGGAAGAGAGCCCUUGCCAGAAACUAAACCCCGCUGGAAACUUGAUUUUGCGCUUUCCAGCCUCUAGAACUAAUAUGUGAAAAACAUUUAAAUCAGAAAGUAAAUGACAGGAUGAUUUGCAAGACACAGGGAUGUAAAAUUAAAAAGCCUCUCGAGCUCCAAAGAAGCAGAUUCUGCUUUGCUCUAUUUGUGAAAGACAACUGGAUGAGUAAAGAUUACUACUUGCAAGGAGACUAGCAAUUUAUCCAAAAUUGGAAACAGAGAAAACGGCAUCUUCUUUUCACUCAUUCUGACUCAAAAUGGGUGUAGCUCAUCAGAGUACAUCGUUACAUUUUCGGGACUUUUGCUACCUGGCUCACAUCACUUUGGUAGCUUGAACUCUGCCAUGAUUGGGAAUAUUUACACCACAAAAAUGGGCUAAUCUCCUAGGAAUGGAUUCUAGGACGGCAUCAGCAUGGGGAUGCAUCAGGACGAUAAUUCCAAGAGUUCAAUGGUGAAUUUCCUUGGCUUCCACUGAGAUCAUGUUGAAUUUUUCCCAAUGGUAAUCUUAUGAUGGCUGCAGCUACCUGUUAACUUCAACAAGCACACUGGCCUGGAGACUACAUGAUGGUGUAUCAGUAAUGGAUUUACAACUGCAAACAUCUCAAGCAGCAGUGCCACAUCCCUGCUACCUCCCUGCUUGUGCGUGUGUCCCUACAUUAUCCAAAAUAGGGGUGGGCUAAUGACGAUUGCAGGCUAACUCCAGCCUACCACUUGCUUCUAUAAAUAAAGUCUUAUUGUACACAAACAUAGCCAUUUAUUUAA
rnacentral:lncRNA from 10 species